ACAUCCCUACGGGACGCAGCAGUAGGGAAUAUUGCUCAAUGGGGGAAACCCUGAAGCAGCAACGCCGCGUGGAGGAUGAAGGUUUUAGGAUUGUAAACUCCUUUUGUUAGAGAAGAUAAUGACGGUAUCUAACGAAUAAGCACCGGCUAACUCCGUGCCAGCAGCCGCGGUAAUACGGAGGGUGCAAGCGUUACUCGGAAUCACUGGGCGUAAAGAGCGCGUAGGCGGGAUAGCAAGUCAGAUGUGAAAUCCUAUGGCUUAACCAUAGUACUGCAUUUGAAACUGUUAUUCUAGAGUAUGUGCGG
rnacentral:rRNA from 1 species